ensembl:antisense Gm28626 predicted gene 28626
GGCGCGCUGCUGGGAAUGGAAGUAAGAGAAUUCUGAACCCAGUACUCCAGUCCUCAGGGUUCUAAAGAAGCUCCACGUCGUAGCUCCGGAGUCCGGUCUGCGGCCCCGGGAGGAGGUGAAGCUCGGAGGUACUCUGCGCCCCACCGGGACCCCGACUCACCACAGAGACAUGGCGGCCCGGUCCAGGGCAGCUGAGCGGGGCGCACGGAUCACAGCUCUGAGCGCCGCGGCUGGGGACAGCGGGACGAGGCCGAGCCGCACCCCCGCUGAGACUUUCUUUUUUUUCCCUGCGGCUGGAGGAGGGGCCUCAGGGGCGGCGGCCCAGGUAGGUUAACCCUUUGUGCCCCGGCUCACUGUGGGGACAGCAACUCCGUUCAGCCCUGGCCACCUCAGAGGCACGCCCCACGGGAACGCGAAGGGAAGAGCCAGAAUCUCAGAGACCUUGAAGAUCGCCAACAUCCUGAGGCGGCGACUUCCCCGCUGCUGGGCCUUCACGGGGGCGCCCGCCUCGCCUCCUUCGG